rnacentral:rRNA from 1 species
GAAUGAUGUGGAGACAUGUCAGCCGCAAGGCAGUUGUGAAGGUGCUGCAUGGUUGUCGUCAGCUCGUGCCGUGAGGUGUCGGCUUAAGUGCCAUAACGAGCGCAACCCUUAUCGAUAGUUACCAUCAGGUUAUGCUGGGGACUCUGUCGAGACUGCCGUCGUAAGAUGUGAGGAAGGUGGGGAUGACGUCAAAUCAGCACGGCCCUUACGUCCGGGGCUACACACGUGUUACAAUGGGGGGUACAGAAGGCAGCUACACGGCGACGUGAUGCUAAUCCCGAAAGCCUCUCUCAGUUCGGAUUGGAGUCUGCAACCCGACUCCAUGAAGCUGGAUUCGCUAGUAAUCGCGCAUCAGCCACGGCGCGGUGAAUACGUUCCCGGGCCUUGUACACACCGCCCGUCAAGCCAUGAAAGCCGGGGGUACCUGAAGUGCGUAACCGCAAGGAGCGCCCUAGGGUAAAACUGGUGAUUGGGGCUAAGUCGUAACAAGGUAGCCGUACCGGAAGGUGCGGC